rnacentral:rRNA from 1 species
GGGGUAACGGCCUACCAAGGCGAUGACGGGUAGCUGACGUGAGAGGGUGACCGGCCACACUGGGACUGAGACACGGCCCAGACUCCUACGGGAGGCAGCAGUGGGGAAUAUUGCACAAUGGGCGCAAGCCUGAUGCAGCGACGCCGCGUGAGGGAUGACGGCCUUCGGGUUGUAAACCCCUGUCAGGUGGGACGAAACCCGUAGUGUCUAAUAGGCAUUACGACUGACGGUACCUGCAGAAGAAGGUCCGGCCAACUACGUGCCAGCAGCCGCGGUAAUACGUAGGGUGCGAGCGUUGUCCGGAAUUACUGGGCGUAAAGGGCUCGUAGGUGGUUUGUCGCGUCGUCUGUGAAAUUCCGGGGCUUAACUCCGGGCGUGCAGGCGAUACGGGCAUAACUUGAGUACUGUAGGGGUAACUGGAAUUCCUGGUGUAGCGGUGAAAUGCGCAGAUAUCAGGAGGAACACCGAUGGCGAAGGCAGGUUACUGGGCAGUUACUGACGCUGAGGAGCGAAAGCAUGGGUAGCGAACAGGAUUAGAUACCCUGGUA